rnacentral:rRNA from 1 species
AUUGAACGCUGGCGGUAUGCUUAAGACAUGCAAGUCGAACGGAAUCUUCGGAUUCAGUGGCGGACGGGUGAGUAACACGUGGGAAUCUACUGAGUAGUGGGGGACAGCCCGGCGAAAGCCGGAUUAAUACCGCAUACGCCUACGGGGAAAGGCGCAAGCCGCUAUUUAAUGAGCCCGCGUAAGAUUAGCUAGUUGGUGAGGUAAAGGCCCACCAAGGCAACGAUCUUUAGCUGGUCUGAGAGGAUGGCCAGCCACAUCGGGACUGAGACACGGCCCGGACUCCUACGGGAGGCAGCAGUCGGGAAUAUUGGACAAUGGGCGCAAGCCUGAUCCAGCAAUACCGCGUGUGUGAAGAAGGCCUGCGGGUUGUAAAGCACUUUCAGUUGGGAAGAUAAUGACGUUACCAACAGAAGAAGCACCGGCUAACUCCGUGCCAGCAGCCGCGGUAAAG